rnacentral:lncRNA from 1 species
GAAGAAAAUGGCAAUCUUGGCUCAAGUCUUCCCUUUGCCCUACCAGAAGUGAACCUGCCCACAGAAGGCACAAAUUUGCCUCUGCUCUUCCAUGAUGUAAUUUUGACCGGUAAAGGCUACCAUACAGCACUGCUGAGAAAUGGACUCAACAUUGUGAAUAAUUGAUUAAUGAAGAUACGAAGGAAAGGAAAGGAAAUUUUACAAAGAAGGAGCAAACAGAAGAAAUGACUUCCCAUCCUCUCAUACCAAAAUGUGAGGAAAGUCCCCUCAUUGCAAUAUGUUCACAACUAAAUUGCGCUUGCCCCAAAAACAAAGCCAAGGGAAAAAAAUGUAGAAAAUGGCUACAUAAUCAGCUUACAAUUUGAACUACAAUUGACAAUCA